AUUCUCUUUGUGUCCUCUCACUCGGUGCCAGAUCAACUUACGUUUGAGGUGCCUCGCCUCUCAUCGGCCCACAUCCUGGAUGAAUAACCUGUUCCCGUCCUGUUUCCCUCCUGUGUGAUCACCUGGCCCCUCCCUAAUGUGUUUCACCUGUGUCUGGUUACCUGCACUCCCUGCCACUAUAUAUUCUCUUUGUGUCCUCUCACUCGGUGCCAGAUCAACUUACGUUUUGUAGUGUUCCAGCAGUUAUUCUCAGUAUCGACCCCUGUGUAUUGCCCAGUUCUGGUUCUUCGUUUUGACCCCUCUGCCUGCCAUUUCUGUCCCUCUGCCCGAUCUUCUGACACCUGGUGACGACCUUUUUUUCAGUAAUAAAGACCACGAUUUUGCAUAACGA